rnacentral:rRNA from 1 species
UACGGAGGGUGCAAGCGUUAUCCGGAUUCACUGGGUUUAAAGGGUGUGUAGGCGGAUAUUUAAGUCCGAGGUGAAAUCUCUGAGCUCAACUCAGAAACUGCCUUGGAUACUACUUAUCUUGAAUAUCGUUGAGGUAGGCGGAAUAUGUCAUGUAGCGGUGAAAUGCUUAGAUAUGACAUAGAACACCGAUUGCGAAGGCAGCUUGCUAAACGAUUAUUGACGCUGAGGCACGAAAGCGUGGGGAUCAAACAGG